UUUGACCUCGGAUCAGGUAGGGAUACCGCCUGAACUAAA
rnacentral:rRNA from 1 species